rnacentral:rRNA from 1 species
UCUGGUCCUUUUGUGCCCGCAGCCGCGGUAAUACGUAUGGUGCAAGCGUUAUCCGGAUUUCCUGGGUGUAAAGGGUGAGUAGGCGGUCAUGCAAGUCAUAUGUGAAAUGUCAGGGCUUAACCUUGGCGCUGCAUAAGAAACUGUAUGACUAGAGUGCAGGAGAGGUAAGCGGAAUUCCUAGUGUAGCGGUGAAAUGCGUAGAUAUUAGGAAGAACACCGGUGGCGAAGGCGGCUUACUGGACUGUUACUGACGCUGAGUCACGAAAGCGUGGGGAGCAAACAGG